AACAAGGGCUGAGAACACAAAGACAGGCAUUGUGCUAAAUGCUGAGGAAGUAAAAAGGAAUUCUUAUUUAUAAUUUAUACCCCACCUACUUCCAAAGAGAAUUUUAAAGGUGACUCACAAUGAAAAACCACAUAUGAAGCAAGAUCACUGAGUUAAAAAUUGAAACAUCAAGCCAUGGGAAUGAAGAAAGGGAAGCCUGUGUUACCUAUCACUACUGUGCCAAAGUCCUUCCUUUUGUCCAGACAUUCCACUUUACAAAAGAGGGCGACGGGAACGAUGAGGUGUGGCUCGAGCUGAGGGAAAGUUUAUCUAUUCUCUCUGGGUAGAGGCAUGGGGAGAACUCCCAUUAUCCAAUUUGACAAACUCCUGACCUGCUUUAGCAGUUGAAAAUCAUCGUUCAUGGAUGCUUGGAUGACACAGACAUUCUUCCACCAGCUGUCUGUCACACCAGCUCUCAAGAAAAGUCUGCUAGAACAUCAUGCAUUUCUCUGCAGAAGGAAGGUUUCCUGCAAGAACUGGAUGGCCCGAACGAUUCUGGAUGCAGAGUCUAGACAGGUAAGAAAAAAAACCAAGGCUUGCAGGAAGGGCUCUCUCUGAGGGAGGGGCUCCUGCCUAUUUCAGUAGCCCCAGCUCCCCACACCUGCCCUAGGAGUCAUUUCUGGAAAGUCUCACCUGCGCUUGCCCUAGCUGUUCCGUUUACCAGGAAGACUCUUCCAAAUUCUACACACAC
rnacentral:lncRNA from 1 species